UACGUAGGGGGCAAGCGUUAUCCGGAUUUACUGGGUGUAAAGGGAGCGUAGACGGCACGGCAAGCCAGAUGUGAAAGCCCGGGGCUCAACCACGGGACUGCAUUUGGAACUGCUGAGCUAGAGUGUCGGAGAGGCAAGUGGAAUUCCUAGUGUAGCGGUGAAAUGCGUAGAUAUUAGGAGGAACACCAGUGGCGAAGGCGGCUUGCUGGACGAUGACUGACGUUGAGGCUCGAAAGCGUGGGGAGCAAACAGG
rnacentral:rRNA from 1 species